UACGAAGGGGGCUAGCGUUGUUCGGAAUCACUGGGCGUAAAGGGCGCGUAGGCGGCCGAUUAAGUCAGGGGUGAAAUCCUGGAGCUCAACUCCAGAACUGCCUUUGAUACUGAAGAUCUUGAGUUCGGGAGAGGUGAGUGGAACUGCGAGUGUAGAGGUGAAAUUCGUAGAUAUUCGCAAGAACACCAGUGGCGAAGGCGGCUCACUGGCCCGAUACUGACGCUGAGGCACGAAAGCGUGGGGAGCAAACAGG
rnacentral:rRNA from 1 species